CCUACGGGUGGCAGCAGUGAGGAAUAUUGGUCAAUGGACGAGAGUCUGAACCAGCCAAGUAGCGUGAAGGAUGACUGCCCUAUGGGUUGUAAACUUCUUUUAUAAAGGAAUAAAAUGAGGCACGUGUGCCUUUUUGUAUGUACUUUAUGAAUAAGGAUCGGCUAACUCCGUGCCAGCAGCCGCGGUAAUACGGAGGAUCCGAGCGUUAUCCGGAUUUAUUGGGUUUAAAGGGAGCGUAGAUGGGUUGUUAAGUCAGUUGUGAAAGUUUGCGGCGCAACCGUAAAAUUGCAAUUGAUACUGGCAGUCUUGAGUACAGUUGAGGUAGGCGGAAUUCGUGGUGUAGCGGUGAAAUGCUUAGAUAUCACGAAGAACCCCGAUUGCGAAGGCAGCUUACUAAACUGUGAAUGACAUUGAUGCUCGAAAGUGUGGGUAUCAAACAGGAUUAGAUACCCUAGUAGUC
rnacentral:rRNA from 1 species